rnacentral:lncRNA from 1 species
CCAUUGACCCUCAAAGUCUAGUCUCUCUGUCUCUGUUUCUCUCUCUCUCUCAAUUCCAUGCACUCUCUGUGUGCCCUGUACCCUGCUAAAUUUGGAGAAUGGCUGUGGAUAGGGCUGCCACCAUCCCUUCCUCUCCCAGAUGCGGAUUCCCCCAACCAUGGGACACUGCAGGGUGGGGGGGUCCGUGGGAUCAUGAACUUCUUCUGCAGUGGCCACUUGGACAACAGAGCUGAGCCACCUGUGUUUACAUCCCAGCUCUGGCCCUGAGUGUGGGCCACUCCCAUGUUCCCUAACCCCAGCUUUCACCUGCAAAAUGGGGGUAUAGCAUACCGUGGAUCACUGUGAGGCACAGAGGAGUUCAUGUUUAUUCAGGAACCAGCUCGGGGUUAAGGGCACGGUGACGGCAGCCUGUGUCUGUUGCACACUGUGUCUGUGCCAGGCCAUGUUCUAAGCACAUUACAUGGGUCCUCUUGUUUAUAUCCAUCAGGGUUCCACCAGGGAAACAGAACGAGUAGCUGAUCCUUAUACAAAGGCUUAUUGCAUGGGAGUGGCUUAUGUGAUUCUGAGAGCUGGCUAGGCAGGUGCUAUGGACUGGAUGUCUGUGUCUCGCCAACAUUUUUAAGUUGAAACUUAACCCCCACUAUGAUGCAGUCCACACCGAGUAAGACAGCAGGU